GACGUAGGGCGCGAGCGUUGUCCGGAUUUAUUGGGCGUAAAGAGCCCGCAGGCGGCUUGGCAAGUUUGAGGUGAAAUCUCCCGGCUUAACUGGGAGGGGGCCUCGAAAACUGCCAGGCUUGAGGCAUGGAGAGGGAUGCGGAAUUCCCGGUGUAGUGGUGAAAUGCGUAGAUAUCGGGAGGAACACCAGUGGCGAAGGCGGGCAUCCUGGCCAUGUCCUGACGCUCAGGGGCGAAAGCGUGGGGAGCAAACCGG
rnacentral:rRNA from 1 species